UACCCNAAAUAAGGAAGGUCCAGCCUGCCCAGUGAUACAAUUUAACGGCCGCGGUAUACUGACCGUGCGAAGGUAGCAUAAUCACUUGUUCUUUAAAUGGGGACUAGUAUGAACGGCACCACGAGGGCUUUACUGUCUCCUCCCUCCAAUCAGUGAAACUGACCUCCCUGUGAAGAGGCAGGGAUACCACUAUAAGACGAGAAGACCCCAUGGAGCUUUAAACCCAACAACAGCCCAAACACCACCACCCCAAAAAGUUUUAAGGGUAUUGCUAGUUGGUUUUAGGUUGGGGUGACCGCGGAGUAUAAACUAUCCUCCACGACGAACGGGCCUACCCCCUUACCCAAGAGCUACGCCUCUAAGGAUUAACACAUUAACGUAAAAUGAUCCAAAUAUUUGAUCAACGAACCAAGUUACCCUGGGGAUAACAGCGCAAUCCAUUUUUAGAGCCCCUAUCGACAAAUGGGUUUACGACCUCGAUGUUGGAUCAGGGUAUCCAGGAGGUGCAGCCGCUUCCAAUGGUUUGUUUGUUCAACAAUUAAAACCCUACGUGAUCUGAGUUCAGACCGGAGGA
rnacentral:rRNA from 1 species